GAUGAACGCUAGCUACAGGCUUAACACAUGCAAGUCGAGGGGAAACGGCAUUGAGUGCUUGCACUCUUUGGACGUCGACCGGCGCACGGGUGAGUAACGCGUAUCCAACCUUCCCAUUACUGUGGGAUAACCUGCCGAAAGGCAGACUAAUACCGCAUAGUCUUCGAUGACGGCAUCAGAUUUGAGGUAAAGAUUUAUCGGUAAUGGAUGGGGAUGCGUCUGAUUAGCUUGUUGGCGGGGUAACGGCCCACCAAGGCUACGAUCAGUAGGGGUUCUGAGAGGAAGGUCCCCCACAUUGGAACUGAGACACGGUCCAAACUCCUACGGGAGGCAGCAGUGAGGAAUAUUGGUCAAUGGACGGAAGUCUGAACCAGCCAAGUAGCGUGCAGGAGGACGGCCCUAUGGGUUGUAAACUGCUUUUGUAUGGGGAUAAAGUUAGGGACGUGUCCCUAUUUGCAGGUACCAUACGAAUAAGGACCGGCUAAUUCCGUG
rnacentral:rRNA from 1 species